rnacentral:rRNA from 1 species
GUGGGGAAUAUUGGACAAUGGGGGGAACCCUGAUCCAGCCAUGCCGCGUGUGUGAAGAAGGCCUUUUGGUUGUAAAGCACUUUAAGCGAGGAGGAGGCUACCGAGAUUAAUACUCUUGGAUAGUGGACGUUACUCGCAGAAUAAGCACCGGCUAACUCUGUGCCAGCAGCCGCGGUAAUACAGAGGGUGCAAGCGUUAAUCGGAUUUAUUGGGCGUAAAGCGCGCGUAGGUGGCCAAUUAAGUCAAAUGUGAAAUCCCCGAGCUUAACUUGGGAAUUGCAUUCGAUACUGGUUGGCUAGAGUAUGGGAGAGGAUGGUAGAAUUCCAGGUGUAGCGGUGAAAUGCGUAGAGAUCUGGAGGAAUACCGAUGGCGAAGGCAGCCAUCUGGCCUAAUACUGACACUGAGGUGCGAAAGCAUGGGGAGCAAACAGGAUUAGAUACCCCUGUAGUCC